UAGUCCACGCCGUAAACGAUGAAUGCUAGAUGUAGGAGGUAUCGACCCCUUCUGUAUCGCAGCUAACGCAGUAAGCAUUCCACCUGGGGAGUACGGCCGCAAGGCUGAAACUCAAAGGAAUUGACGGGGACCCGCACAAGCAGUGGAGUAUGCGGUUUAAUUCGUGGCUACGCGAAGAACCUUACCAAGGCUUGACAUCUUUUGACAGCUCUGGAGACAGAGCAUUCCUACGGGACAAAAUGAC
rnacentral:rRNA from 1 species